CCUUGAAAUACCACCCUUGAAUAUUUGAAGUUCUAACUCAGUAGAGAUUCGAGGACAGUGUAUUGUGGGUAGUUUGACUGGGGCGGUCUCCUCCUAAAGAUUAACGGAGGAGUACGAAGGUGCACUCGGUACGGUCGGAAAUCGUGCCAAGAGUAUAAAGGCCAAAGUGCGCUUGACUGCGAGAGUGACGGCUCGAGCAGGUACGAAAGUAGGUCUUAUUGAUCCGGUGGUCCCGAAUGG
rnacentral:rRNA from 1 species